rnacentral:rRNA from 1 species
GAUGAACGCUGACAGGAUGCUUAACACAUGCAAGUCUUUGGCGAAGCUGUGCUUGCACAGCCUAGCCAAGGCGGACGGGUGAGUAACGCGUAAGGAACUUGCCCUGCAGUCAGGGAUAACAGACGGAAACGACUGAUAAGACCUGGUAAAGUCAGGCGGACUCAUGUCCAGCCUGAUGAAAAGAGAUGCUGCAGGAGAGCCUUGCGUCCUAUUAGCUUGUUGGUGGGGUAACGGCCCACCAAGGCGAUGAUAGGUAGCCGGCCUGAGAGGGUGGACGGCCACAAGGGGACUGAGAUACGGCCCUUACUCCUACGGGAGGCAGCAGUGGGGAAUAUUGGACAAUGGGGGCAACCCUGAUCCAGCAAUUCUGUGUGCACGAUGAAGGUUUUCGGAUUGUAAAGUGCUUUCAGCAGGGAAGAAAAAAAUGACGGUACCUGCAGAAGAAGCGACGGCUAAAUACGUG